GAUGAACGCUGGCGGCGUGCCUAAUACAUGCAAGUCGAGCGAAUGGAUUAAGAGCUUGCUCUUAUGAAGUUAGCGGCGGACGGGUGAGUAACACGUGGGUAACCUGCCCAUAAGACUGGGAUAACUCCGGGAAACCGGGGCUAAUACCGGAUAACAUUUUGAACCGCAUGGUUCGAAAUUGAAAGGCGGCUUCGGCUGUCACUUAUGGAUGGACCCGCGUCGCAUUAGCUAGUUGGUGAGGUAACGGCUCACCAAGGCAACGAUGCGUAGCCGACCUGGGUGGGUGAUCGGCCACACUGUGAGUGAGACACGGCCCAGACUCCUACGGGAGGCAGCAGUAGGGAAUCUUCCGCAAUGGCCGAAAGUCUGACGGAGCAACGCCGCGUGAGUGAUGAAGGCUUUCGGGUCGUAAAACUCUGUUGUUAGGGAAGAACAAGUGCUAGUUGAAUAAGCUGGCACCUUGACGGUACCUAACCAGAAAGCCACGGCUAACUACGUGCCAGCAGCCGCAGUAA
rnacentral:rRNA from 1 species